rnacentral:rRNA from 1 species
UGGGGAAUAUUGGGCAAUGGGCGAAAGCCUGACCCAGCAACGCCGCGUGAAGGAAGAAGGCCUUCGGGUUGUAAACUUCUUUUACCAGGGACGAAGGACGUGACGGUACCUGGAGAAAAAGCAACGGCUAACUACGUGCCAGCAGCCGCGGUAAUACGUAGGUUGCAAGCGUUGUCCGGAUUUACUGGGUGUAAAGGGCGUGUAGGCGGAGAUGCAAGUUGGGAGUGAAAUCCAUGGGCUUAACCCAUGAACUGCAUUUGAAACUGUGGAUCUUGAGUGCUGGAGGGGCAAUCGGAAUUCCUAGCGUAGCGGUGAAAUGCGUAGAUAUUAGGAGGAACACCAGUGGCGAAGGCGGAUUGCUGGACAGUAACUGACGGUGAGGCGCGAAAGUGUGGGGAGCAAACAGGAUUAGAUACCCUGGUAGU